GUGGGGAGAAAUAUAUAAUGGAGUCAAAUCCGUACUGAAACUGAUCGAUUGCGAAAACUUAAGAAAUGAGAAACGGGUCAGUAGGGGCCUCAGACUCGGGAACUCACAACCUUUUUGACUUUAAUUAAUACCCCGAUAUACAGCAACCCAGCUCAACUGUCAACUGAAAUCUUCAUCUACGCAGAACUCAUGACAAAUACAUAAAUUUCCCGAGAAUUUUCUAUCAGUCAGAGGCGCAUGUAUAAUGCAUAAGGAUCCAUCAUCAACAGAUUGCAGAAAAGUGCGGAGAGUCAAGUGAAAAAUUCCAACGAAAACGGUAGAAAUUAUUUACAGCACGAGCCACGGUGGGGAAAAGUGGGAAAAGGGGCUGGGUAAAUCCAAAAGCGGGCUGAAAUUGAGUCAACAACAAAGCAAUAAAGUCAACGAAAUUUGAUGCCGAUUUAAUAAUUCAGAAAUUUGUUCAUCACAAACAGACAGCAGCUGCAAUUGAUGAGGCCAAAACCCAAAAAAAAAAAAAAAAAAAAAAAAAAAAGCGAAAUCGUAAAAUAUAAAAUGCAAAUAAAAAUUGGUUUACAUAUAAUAUAUCCUUCUAUAUGUAGGCUCAUUCGACUGAUAAACAACGCCGGAUGUUCAAUAUUAAAUCGUCAUUGGGCAUUAAAAAUUAAUGUAUAUUUAAAAAGGCCAAAGUACGGAACGCAAAUCGGCUUGACAAAAUCGAGAGCAAAAGGCACCGAAAACAAUUGUCAACGAGUUGAAAAUAAAGGGAAACGAAAACAAAGCUAAAGGGCUAAAAUAAUCAGGAAGACUGGACAAUAUAACAGCAAAAAAAAAAACAAAAUAAAAAGGGCAACCAAACCAAACCGCGGCUCUUGAAGUUAAGCAGCUUUCAGCAGGUAAAGGAAGUGGAAUUCAGGUCGUGAUUGUAAUGCUAUUAACUUUUCGGCUGUGAAAGGUCAGCGCUUUAAUGAUUCCACAAAUAAAAUGCCAAUGGGGAAAAAAGGUUGGUGAUCAAUUAAA